rnacentral:rRNA from 1 species
UACGUAGGGGGCAAGCGUUGUUCGGAAUCACUGGGCGUAAAGGGCGCGUAGGCGGGAUGGCAAGUCGGUCGUGAAAUCCUUCGGCUCAACCGAAGAACGUCGGCCGAUACUGCCGUUCUUGAGGGAUGCAGAGGAGAUUGGAAUUCCCGGUGUAGCGGUGAAAUGUGUAGAGAUCGGGAGGAACACCGGUGGCGAAGGCGGGUCUCUGGGCAUCUCCUGACGCUGAGGCGCGAAAGCGUGGGGAGCAAACGGG